AAUAGCCCAGCACUGAAUCCCGCCGUUGUCACGGCGGCGGGAGAUGUGGUGUUCGGGAGGUUCCGCUUUCUCGUCGUCGUCAUCUCCUGUCCAAGUUCGUCUUGAACGGGGCCGUUUUCCCGUAGAGGGUGCCAGGCCCGUAGCGACGGAGGACGGCGGCGAGAGGGACUCUCCUCAGAGUCGGGUUGCUUGAGAGUGCAGCCCUAAGUGGGUGGUAAACUCCAUCUAAGGCUAAAUAUUACCGCGAGACCGAUAGCGAACAAGUACCGUA
rnacentral:rRNA from 2 species